GAGUUUGAUCGUGGCUCAGAUUGAACGCUGGCGGUAUGCUUAACACAUGCAAGUCGAACGGUAACAGGAGAGAGCUUGCUCUUUUGCUGACGAGUGGCGGACGGGUGAGUAAUGCGUAGGAAUCUGCCUAGUAGUGGGGGACAACGUGUGGAAACGCACGCUAAUACCGCAUACGCCCUACGGGGGAAGCGGGGAGUCUUCGGACCUCGCGCUAUUAGAUGAGCCUACGUUAGAUUAGCUAGUUGGUGGGGUAAAGGCCUACCAAGGCGACGAUCUAUAGCUGGUCUGAGAGGAUGAUCAGCCACACUGGGACUGAGGCACGGCCCAGACUCCUACGGGAGGCAGCAGUGGGGAAUAUUGGACAAUGGGCGAAAGCCUGAUCCAGCAAUACCGCGUGUGUGAAGAAGGCCUGAGGGUUGUAAAGCACUUUCAAUUGUGAAGAAAUAUUUAAGGUUAAUAACCUUAAAUUUUGACGUUAACUUUAGAAGAAGCACCGGCUAACUCCGUGCCAGCCGCCGCCGUAAC
rnacentral:rRNA from 1 species